GCCGAGGUGGUGAAACUGGUAGACACAAGGGACUUAAAAUCCCUCGAACAUUACAUGUUCGUGCCGGUUCGAUUCCGGCCCUCGGUACCA
rnacentral:tRNA from 2 species